AGGCAGGGCCCCUCGGCCCAGUCACUCUCCUUCUAGGUUGUACAGCCAAGGAAGCUAGGGUGGCAAAGUCUGUUGAUUAGCAGCUGGGACCGAUUCCCCCCCACACACACCCAGUGCCACCUGCCCUAGCUGCCCACAGAAGGGUCCCUGGGAGGAGCCCCAGGGCUGCCUGCUAGAGUCUGGGGGAUUUCCAAAACUUUCCCAUCAAUUUGAGAAGAAACAUGCUCACCUAGAUAAGAGGAAAAGGGACAGGCAGUGGGGAAAACUCCCACCUGAUGGGAACCAAGCCAGCAGGCUCAGGACCCAAUGGGAACUGGGUAUAGGAAGUCCUUGGGGGGUGAACAGGUCCAAUGACAGCAAGUCUGGCACCAGGUCCACUAAGGGGGCUGCGCAUGGCACCCAGACCUACCCCAGCUUGCUAUCCCUUGCUUCUCUCGCCUGGCUUCCCCUGCUGUAAGGAGUCCCCAUCUUUGCCUGUCUUCCCCUGGGGGAGAAUGCAGCUGGCCUUGCAUUGUGGUCUGGGGCGGGCCUGCUGCAGCCACAGCCUCAAGACAGACUUGGACAAGAGGAGAACCUGAGAGCAAUGCGGACCUGGUGUCGGAGCCCAGCACAGAGCACUCCUCCCCCAACGCCAGCAAGCCUGCCCCAUCAGGGGCCUCGCUCACCCUACCAGGCUCCCAGCCCCGGAACCCCUCCCCAUCCCAGCCAGCGGGUCCCUGCUACCCUGAUGGCUGCUGACCAGGCACUUGGCAGUGCCCCUGCAUGCUGGGCGCCCUGCCCGGCAGCCCUCCCCAAGCAACCUCAGCCUGACCCACGGCAGCUUUGCUAACUAAGCCGCUGGGGUGGGGGUCAUGGCCCCCGGGGCAGCAGCACGAGGCAGAGCUGGCCCUGGGAGAGAUCAGUCCCUUUGUGGGUAGAUCUACGCAGGUCCUGGGGAGGCUGCCAAGGGGCCAACCCUGACACGGUGGUGCCCCUCUGAGUCAAUAAGCACCCCCUAACUCCCUCGCCUCACCCUCCCUGCCUGCUUUUCCCAUCACAUUCCUGCCUGCUGUUUGUGGGCACCAGUAUGCCUGCACUGGACCAAAAUCAGCAAUACUAGGAACAACACUGGGGACUCAAGCAUGGAGACUCCACGAGGUUUUGCCAGCACAGCACCCAUGGCCCAGCACCUGGGACAGGGCCAACAAGCACCACAGGUGGCAGGAAGGCCCUCCAGCUGCCGUGGGCACAGGUGGGAUGGCUGUGGCCAUCCGGUUCUGGAUGCGUCAGAGGCUGAGGACUCCCCCCAACCCUGCCCAUUUACUAAAUGCUUGAGGUCAGCUCCGCAGCGUGGGAGGGCGGUGCACUUGGCCCGACCUGCCAGCACAGCCCGGUGCCUCAAACGUUCCAUGGCGCGCUUGUUCUCCGCCCAGCUGUCCACAUCCCGGAGAGGCUGCACCGUCCAUCCACAGAUGUCAACCGUGCAUCCUGUCGCCCACUCACCAUCUCUUGUGCUGUAGACACUCCUAUGGCAAGGAACAGCUGACAGCUUUGUUCAACAAGAUGCCCGGCCUCGGGGCGCCUGGGUGGCUCAAUGGGGUUGGACCUCUGCCUUCGGCUGGGGUCAU